GGGCCCGUGGCCUAGUCUGGAUAGGGCGCCGGCCUUCGGAGCCGGUAGUCGCGGGUUCAAAUCCCGCCGGGCCCGCCA
rnacentral:tRNA from 1 species